ACCAACACACUUGGGAGGAAGCCUGCAGAGAAAUUGACCAGAAGCGACUAAAAACGUAUCCAUUUCUCGCCAACCGAGGCGGUUGCAUCGAGAGAUACAUUCUUGUGUAAUCUGGUCAUCAUUUGAACCAAUCGUUAUAAACUUAAAACCAAUUUAUCAGCGAAGGAGGUGAAGCAUCCGAUUCACGCAGACGCUUUCGGUUGGAUACUAAAAGAAUAAAGCUUUUGAGGUGAAACGUUUGGCGCCAUCUUGGAUUUUUGGAAGGAGUGCACGAAGACAGGCUCACUAAGCAGAGAACUCUGCAAGACUACUGGGGAAAGGACAUUUCUGAGGUAAAGAAAAAGUCAAGGACUUCGAAGACUUUAUGACAAGAGCUCAGAGAGCACUGUGGUCUGCUAAGUCCGUUGGACUAGAAGUUGAGUUUAUUGCCAUGAAAGAAGUCAAGACUGGAAGCAAACACAAUGCAAAAAUGGUCAGUGAUGAGCAACAAGAAAACACUGCUACAGGGCUUGACUCCCUUUUAAAAGAGGAAAAGGAAAAAUUGGAUCAAAUUUUAUUUCUUUUAGACAAAUUUUUUGUAGGAGACUUGUUUUAUCAUGAGCUCUCCAUGAUUAAUGAUGAUCUUCUAAAAUCAUAUCUAAUCAAGGAAUGGCAUGACAUGAACCAUAUUAUAUCCACACCUGGGAGAGCUGAGGGUGCUGAAGUUUCAUUCAAGAACUUCUCAAGGAAAGAGUGCAAGAUUUAAUUAACCAAAAUCCAGAAUUUGAUUUUGAAAAUGAAAGUGUAAAGGUUAAAAUAUCAGGGGAUGGGGCAAGGAUGACUCUCAAUACAAGCGUUAUCAUUCUUUCUUUUGCCCUGUUGCAAAAUUAUAGUGAUUUAAUGUCUGCAAGGGGAAAAUUGUACAAUUGCCAUUCUGAAGGAUUCAGAAAAGUAUGAAAUACUGAGAGAGUCAUUUGCUGAUUUUUUUUCAGAUAUAAAUGAUCUAAAUUCCAUAAACAAAAUCACAAUCAAUGGGAAAGAAAUAACACUUGAAUUCUUUUGGGGGGAGAUUAUAAAUUCAUUUUAAUCAUGUUGGGACUUAAAGGUGCCACCUCAUUCUAUGCUUGUGUCUGGUGCAAAGUUCAUAAAGAUAAAAAACUACGGUAGUUUCAGUAGACCACCACAGCACUGAACAGUGGAGAAAAAUCAGUAUUGAAAAAAUAGAACAAAAACAACAGUGAAUGGGAUAGCAAUCUCAAAUACUUCAAAACCAUUGAUUUUUUGUUCUUUGGAUUUAAAAAAAGUUCUCUUAAAGCUGGCAUUCAAGGAAGUGAAGGUCUACUCUCAUGUCCUUUCUACUUACUAAACAAAUUGUAAAACAGCCUGCACACUGUGUGUAUUUCUUGGUUGUAAAUAUGAAAAAUUUAAAUCAAUAUAAGAAUAUGUAAUGAACUACUACAAAA